UGCGGGAUGGAGCAGCCCGGUAGCUCGCGAGGCUCAUAACCUCGAGGUCGUCGGUUCGAAUCCGGCUCCCGCAAC
rnacentral:tRNA from 7 species